rnacentral:antisense_RNA from 1 species
CUUGAUGGAGCCGAGCCACAGCGGCCGGUCCUCGGGCCGGUCCUGGCCGUAGGUGGCGAGGAGGGCCUGUGCCUC